rnacentral:rRNA from 1 species
AGUGAACGCUGGCGGUAGGCCUACCACAUGCAAGUCGAACGGCAGCACAGUAAGAGCUUGCUCUUACGGGUGGCGAGUGGCGGACGGGUGAGGAAUACAUCGGAAUCUACUUUUUCGUGGGGGAUAACGUAGGGAAACUUACGCUAAUACCGCAUACGACCUACGGGUGAAAGCAGGGGAUCUUCGGACCUUGCGCGAUUGAAUGAGCCGAUGUCGGAUUAGCUAGUUGGCGGGGUAAAGGCCCACCAAGGCGACGAUCCGUAGCUGGUCUGAGAGGAUGAUCAGCCACACUGGAACUGAGACACGGUCCAGACUCCUACGGGAGGCAGCAGUGGGGAAUAUUGGACAAGGGGCGCAAGCCUGAUCCAGCCAUACCGCGUGGGUGAAGAAGGCCUUCGGUUUGUAAAGCCCUUUUUUUGGGAAAGAAAAGCAGCAGGUUAAUACCCCGCUGUUCUGACGGUACCCAAAGAAUAAGCACCGGCUAACUUCGUG